rnacentral:rRNA from 1 species
CCUACGGGAGGCAGCAGUGGGGAAUCUUGCACAAUGGAGGAAACUCUGAUGCAGCGAUGCCGCGUGAGUGAAGAAGGCCUUUGGGUUGUAAAGCUCUUUUGUAGGGGAAGAUAAUGACUGUACCCUAAGAAUAAGGUCCGGCUAACUUCGUGCCAGCAGCCGCGGUAAUACGAAGGGACCUAGCGUAGUUCGGAAUUACUGGGCGUAAAGCGCGCGUAGGCCGUUGAGUUAGUUAAUUGUGAAAUCCCAAAGCUUAACUUUGGAACUGCAAUUAAAACUGCUCGACUAGAGUUUGAUAGAGGAAAGCGGAAUACAUAGUGUAGAGGUGAAAUUCGUAGAUAUUAUGUAGAACACCAGUUGCGAAGGCGGCUUUCUGGAUCAACACUGACGCUGAGGCGCGAAAGUAUGGGUAGCAAAGAGGAUUAGAUACCCUCGUAGUCCAUACCAUAAACGAUGAUUGCUAGAUGUUGGAAAUUUAUUUUCAGUAUCGCAGCUAACGCAUUAAGCAAUCCGCCUGGGGAGUACGACCGCAAGGUUAAAACUCAAAGGAAUUGACGGCNGAGAGNGCGAGACGACACGAGGAGAG